UUUUAUGAGAGUUUGAUCCUGGCUCAGGACGAACGCUGGCGGCGUGCCUAAUACAUGCAAGUCGAACGCUUCUUUUUCCACCGGAGCUUGCUCCACCGGAAAAAGAGGAGUGGCGAACGGGUGAGUAACACGUGGGUAACCUGCCCAUCAGAAGGGGAUAACACUUGGAAACAGGUGCUAAUACCGUAUAACAAUCGAAACCGCAUGGUUUUGAUUUGAAAGGCGCUUUCGGGUGUCGCUGAUGGAUGGACCCGCGGUGCAUUA
rnacentral:rRNA from 1 species